AGAAGGUAUAGCAAUAGCUAAUUGUAUUAGCAAAUAGUUUUUACAAUAUCGAUUUAAUCGACUAAAAUUCUAGGUAGAUUUAUGAUGAUGACAUUAUCUAUCUAUGUGUCUUGACCAAAUUUCGUGCCAGCAGUCGCGGUAAGACGUAAGAGACUAGUGUUAUUCAUCUUUAAUAGGUUUAAAGCGUACCUAGACGGUAAUUAAAGCCUAUAUCAGGAACUUGUUUACUAGAGUUAAAUGUAAGGGUGUAUUAAAGUACUGUUGAGUGUAGAGAUGAAAUUCGUUGAUACCAAAUAAUUGGCACAGGUAUAGGCGAAAGCAUCACUUUAUGUAAUAACUGACGUUGACGGACGAAGGCUUUGUGUCGCGAACAGGAUUAGAUACCCCAGUAGUCUUAGCAGAAAACUAUGAGUGUCAUAGGUUAGAUUUUAUUUGGUCUAUAAAUGAAAGUGUAAGCACUCCACCUCAAGAGUAAUUUGGCAACAUUGGAACUGAAAUCAUUAGACCGUUUCUGAAACCAGUAGUGAAGUAUGUUGUUUAAUUUGAUAAUCCGCAAAGAACCUUACCACAAUUUGAAUAUAAAUGAUUUAUUUUUACAAGCGUUGCACGGCUGUCUUCAGUUAAUGUCGUGAGAUAUUGGUUUAUUCCAUUAAAUUAACGUAAACCCGUACUUUAUUUUUAUAUAAAGUUGUUCAUUCGCUAUAAUGGAUGUGAUAACAGGGACUAAGACAAGUCAUCAUGGC
rnacentral:rRNA from 1 species